rnacentral:rRNA from 1 species
UACAGAUGCUGGCGACCGGCAAACGGGUGCGGAACACGUACAGAACCCUCCUUCGAGCGGGGAAUAGCCCAGAGAAAUUUGGAUUAAUACCCCAUAGUAUAUUGGAGUGGCAUCACUUUGAUAUUAAAGAUUUAUCACUUGAAGAUGGCUGUGCGGCUGAUUAGAUAGUUGGCGGGGUAACGGCCCACCAAGUCUGCGAUCAGUAACUGGUGUGAGAGCACGACCAGUCACACGGGCACUGAGACACGGGCCCGACUCCUACGGGAGGCAGCAGUAAGGAAUAUUGGUCAAUGGACGAAAGUCUGAACCAGCCAUGCCGCGUGGAGGAUGAAGGUCCUCUGGAUUGUAAACUUCUUUUAUAUGGGACGAAAAAAGGGUUUUCUAACUCGUCUGACGGUACCAUAUGAAUAAGCACCGGCUAACUCCGUGCCAGCAGCCGCGGUAAUACGGAGGGUGCAAGCGUUAUCCGGAUUCACUGGGUUUAAAGGGUGCGUAGGUGGGUUGGUAAGUCAGUGGUGAAAUCCCCGAGCUUAACUUGGGAACUGCCAUUGAUACUAUCAGUCUUGAAUACCGUGGAGGUCAGCGGAAUAUGUCAUGUAGCGGUGAAAUGCUUAGAUAUGACAUAGAACACCAAUUGCGAAGGCAGCUGACUACACGAAUAUUGGCACUGAGGCACGAAAGCGUGGGGAUCAAACAGGAUUAGAUACCCUGGUAGUCCACGCCCUAAACUAUGGAAACUCGACAUACGCGAUACACAGUGUGUGUCUGAG